rnacentral:rRNA from 1 species
AGCGAACGCUAGCGGAUGGCUUAACACAUGCAAGUCGAGCGGGCAGCUUCGGCUGUCUAGCGGCGAACGGGUGCGUAACACGUGGGUAAUCUGCCUUCUGGUGGGGGAUAACCCGACGAAAGUCGGGCUAAUACCGCAUAUGGCCUACGGGUCAAAGCAGCAAUGCGCCAGUUGAUGAGCCCGCGGCCCAUUAUUUAAUCCUAGUUGGCGGGGUAACGGCCCACCAAGGGUACGAUGGGUAGCUGGUCUGAGAGGACGAUCAGCCACACUGGGACUGAGACACGGCCCAGACUCCUACGGGAGGCAGCAGUGGGGGAAUAUUGCGCAAUGGGCGAAAGCCUGACGCAGCCAAUCCGCGUGGGGUGAUGAAGGCCUUCGGUUGUAAAGCCUCGUCGUGAGGGACGGAAGUCUGACGGUACCUCACAAGAAAGACACCGGCUAACCCCGUCGCCAGC